rnacentral:lncRNA from 1 species
ACGCAGCUCUAAGAGCAUUAGCUCUGACGGAGCUGAGCACUCGUUGAAUACACGACGUACACAAACGCAGCCCAGACUCAAUUUUCCAGGAGCAAUUCCAUGUUUCAGCCACCAGUUCUGUAAUCUGUUCAGGGCUGGGCACGAGGGGAAAUUGUCUCUAGUGAAGACAGAUGUGAAGAGAUGUUAAACCAUGCUUUCAUCUCCUGUUUUCCACAGAUGUGGUCCUGGCUUGGAAGAGUCUUCAGAAAGCCAAAGAAGUGCUACAAAGGAUUGAAAACAAAUUGUAUCAUCAAACGUGGAGCCGUGCCAAAUUGCAGACAGCCAGAAGAAAGCUUUGGUGUGAAAAAAGCUUUGAUGGGGAGAGAAGCAGAGAUGAAACAGCUUUGAUUGAGAAAAAGAGCAAUGAGGUUCCCUUGUCCUGCAGGUAAUGUUCAUUAACAUUAAUGUUCAGCGCUUGGGGGAUGGAGAGGCAAUGGCACACAAAAAGGGAUUUAAAAUUCUAGGAUGCAGGACCUCAGAAUAAAGUUAAGCAUCAUUUCA